rnacentral:tRNA from 1 species
GCAGUGGUGGUUCAAUGAUAGAAUUCUCGUCUUCCAUGCAGGAGACCCAGGUUCGAUUCCCAGCCAGUGCA